rnacentral:lncRNA from 1 species
AUAAAACCAACCAAAACAAAUCUAGAACUUAAUCAAUCAAAGCAUAAAAUAAAGAGAAUAGAGGAAUAAAAAACACCAAUAUUGUUUAUCCAAUUCAGCUCAAAUUGACCUACAUCUAGGGAAGAGAGCAGUUCUCCGCUAAGAGAUCAACAAGAUCAAACCAUAAUUUAUAUCCUUUCUCUCAACCUCAAUGGCAAUCACACAAGAAAAUGGGAGAGAAAAAACUUAAAUUCUUCCUCCAAUGAAUCCUCACUACUUAAGGUCUUUAAAAUGUAUUUUUCAAUCCAAGAAUCUCAUAAGAAAAGGGUUAAGUGGUUAUCCCUAAUUAGCCUUUGAUUCCAAAGAAUUGUUUCUUUUUAACUUGCAAGAUUCCACUUAAAAAUCGGUCCACAGCUACAUUAUACUACUCAAAUCCACCAAAAACUGCCUCGCAACUGUAUUGGGGUGCCUAGAAUCGCACCAAAAAGAAGAAAAAAAAUGAAAUUUUAAGGCACACAAAAAUAUUUUUAUCUACUUCGUAAUGUACUAUGUAUAAGAUUAAUAUCUUGUUUUGAAAAUGGUAGGUCAAGACUAAAUCAAAAACUUGUUUUUGUUUUUUUUGUUUACAAUGAAAUCAAAGAUCGAACUUAAUACCUUAUGCAUACUAUUCAAAUUCCUCAUCAUCAUAAGACAAAAUUUAGUGGCUUAUCAGAGUCUUGUUUUCAUAUGAGCCAGAUUGCAGGGAGCUUUAGAGAUGGAUGGAAAUAGACUAGUUCAGGUUAGAUUUUGCAAGAUCUAAAUCUGAUGUGUUUAAUACUAAGAUUUAUUCAAGUAUGCUUUAAUUUGUCAUAAACUCUAGGUAAGAAUUAUAAUUUUCUAAAAGUGUGGCAGUGUGGCAUGACAUGUUAACUUACUUAAAACUUUAUUUCAUAUUAACAUCUAAUCGAAUCUAACAUAUAUUUAAACAGACAAGACAACCAUAUUAUUUAAAUAGACAACUCAUUUGGGCUACACAAGACUUAGAGUCCGUUUGACCCAACUUUUUUAGAGUUUAUGCAAUAUAAAUUAAGUUUUAUGCUAUUAUAUAAGUUUACACUAGUGAAAAUUGUAAUUUUAUAAGCUAUUUUAUCAUAAACUACAUUGACAAACUUAUCAUAAAUAUAUAAAAAUUGCACAAGUUGUUUGCAUAAGCUCUAAAUAAGAGGAAAAAAAGUCAGGUCAAAUGAUAC